GCCCUGGCUCUAUUCAGAGCCAUAAAUAGAACACAUCACAUUAUU
rfam:Paxillus rubicundulus Ve08.2h10 scaffold_2347_c2, whole genome shotgun sequence.